GACGAACGCUGGCGGCGUGCUUAACACAUGCAAGUCGAGCGGAGCGGCGAACGGGUGAGUAACGCGUGAGUAACUGCCCCCCUCUCUGGGAUAACAGUUGGAAACGGCUGCUAAUACCGGAUAGUGGGGGAUGACUCGCGUCCUAUCAGCUUGUUGGUGGGGUAGUGGCCUACCAAGGCGACGACGGGUAGCCGGCCUGAGAGGGCGACCGGCCACAUUGGGCUGAGAUACGGCCCAAACUCCGACGGGAGGCAGCAGUGGGGAAUAUUGGUCAAUGGAGGAAACUCUGAACCACCAAGUCGCGUGAAGGAUGACGGCCUAUGGAUUGUAAACUGCUUUAGUAGGCGAGUCGUGUACCUAUUAGAAAGUAGCCUAAGAAUAAGUAUCGGCUAACUCCGUGCCAGCAGCCGCGGUAAUUC
rnacentral:rRNA from 1 species